GGGGUUGUGGCUCAGUGAUAGAGCGCUUGCCUAGCAUGCAUGAGGCACUGGGUUCGAUCCUAAGCACCCCA
rnacentral:tRNA from 1 species